UGCCGGAGUGCGGGUGUCCAAGGGUUGGCUCUGCAAGGAGCACAGGGUCGGGCAGGGUGAACCCUGUGGGAUAACAGUUUCGAACUGGAUCCAAAAGUGGAACUGGAUGCGACUUUGGACAUGCAUGUCAUGGUCAAGAAGUAGGGCAAAUUGCCAAAGGAUCUCAGGAGAAGAAAAUCAACAUUCAGGGAGUGAGAAUGAACAUUUGGGGAGAACCUAGUUCCUGUCACGUGUCUUACACUCACAGUCUGAGAGCCCGCUUUGGGAUUUUACAGAAAGUCCGGCAAGAGGAC